rnacentral:rRNA from 1 species
AGAGUUAGAUCCUGGCUCAGGAUGAACGCUGGCGGCGUGCUUAACACAUGCAAGUCGAGCGAAGCAGUUAAGAAGAUUCUUCGGAUGAUUUUUAACUGACUGAGCGGCGGACGGGUGAGUAACGCGUGGGUGACCUGCCCCAUACCGGGGGAUAACAGCUGGAAACGGCUGCUAAUACCGCAUAAGCGCACAGAGCUGCAUGGCUCGGUGUGAAAAACUCCGGUGGUAUGGGAUGGGCCCGCGUCUGAUUAGGCAGUUGGCGGGGUAACGGCCCACCAAACCGACGAUCAGUAGCCGGCCUGAGAGGGCGACCGGCCACAUUGGGACUGAGACACGGCCCAAACUCCUACGGGAGGCAGCAGUGGGGAAUAUUGCACAAUGGGGGAAACCCUGAUGCAGCGACGCCGCGUGAGCGAAGAAGUAUUUCGGUAUGUAAAGCUCUAUCAGCAGGGAAGAUAAUGACGGUACCUGACUAAGAAGCCCCGGCUAACUACGUGCCAGCAGCCGCGGUAAUACGUAGGGGGCAAGCGUUAUCCGGAUUUACUGGGUGUAAAGGGAGCGUAGACGGCAAGGCAAGUCUGAUGUGAAAACCCAGGGCUUAACCCUGGGACUGCAUUGGAAACUGUCUGGCUCGAGUGCCGGAGAGGUAAGCGGAAUUCCUAGUGUAGCGGUGAAAUGCGUAGAUAUUAGGAAGAACACCAGUGGCGAAGGCGGCUUACUGGACGGUAACUGACGUUGAGGCUCGAAAGCGUGGGGAGCAAACAGAAUUAGAUACCCUGGUAGUCCACGCCGUAAACGAU